AACGGCCGCGGUAUUUUGACCGUGCAAAGGUAGCGCAAUCAAUUGUCUUUUAAAUGAAGGCCCGUAUGAAUGGCAUAACGAGGGCUUAACUGUCUCCUUUUUUCAGUCAAUGAAAUUGAUCUUCCCGUGCAGAAGCGGGAAUUUGUACAUAAGACGAGAAGACCCUAUGGAGCUUAUAAACGCAAGAACAGACCAUGUCACUCCUUUUAACUUAAUUAAAUUUAUUAAACUAACUGUGUAUACUGUUCUAAUGUUUUUGGUUGGGGCGACCACGGAGUAGAAUUUAACCUCCACGCAGAACGAAAAUACUCAUUUUUCUAUUCAAGGAAAACAAUCCUAGAACCCAGAACAUCUGACUUUUAUUGAUCCAGCAUGGCCGAUUUUCGAACCGAGUUACCCUAGGGAUAACAGCGCAAUCCUCCUUUAGAGUCUCAAUCGACAAGAGGGUUUACGACCUCGAUGUUGGACCAGGACAUCCUAUU
rnacentral:rRNA from 1 species